UGAGGAAUAUUGGGCAAUGCCCGCAAGGGUGACCCAGCAACGCCGCGUGGAGGAUGAAUGUCGUAAGAUUGUAAACUCCUGUUAGAGGGGAAGAAUAGUACCGGUUGGACCGGUAUAUGACUGUACCUUCAGAGAAAGCCCCGGCUAACUACGUGCCAGCAGCCGCGGUAAUACGUAGGGGGCAAGCGUUGUCCGGAUUUACUGGGUGUAAAGGGCGCGCAGGCGGGAUAAAAAGUCAGUGGUGAAAUCCUACAGCUUAACUGUAGAACUGCCUUUGAUACUGUUAUUCUUGAGUUCGGGAGAGAGAGACGGAAUUCCAGGUGUAGUGGUGAAAUACGUUGAUAUCUGGAAGAACACCAGUUGCGAAGGCGGUCUCUUGGUCCGACACUGACGCUGAGGCGCGAAAGCGUGGGGAGCAAACA
rnacentral:rRNA from 1 species